rnacentral:rRNA from 1 species
AGCAGUCGCCGCGGGAAAACGAAGGGUGCAAGCGUUAAUCGGAAUUACUGGGCGUAAAGCGCGCGUAGGUGGUUCAGUAAGUUGGAAGUGAAAUCCCCGGGCUCAACCUGGGAACUGCUUUCAAAACUGCUGAGCUAGAGUACGGUAGAGGGUGGUGGAAUUUCCUGUGUAGCGGUGAAAUGCGUAGAUAUAGGAAGGAACACCAGUGGCGAAGGCGACCACCUGGACUGAUACUGACACUGAGGUGCGAAAGCGUGGGGAGCAAACAGGAUUAGAUACCCGUGUAGUCCCUGUCUCUUAUAC